CAAGGAAUUUUCGUCAAUGGGCGCAAGCCUGAACGAGCAACGCCGCGUGGAGGAUGACGGCCUUCGGGUUGUAAACUCCUUUUUCGGGGGACGAUGAUGACGGUACCCCGGGAAUAAGGCUCGGCUAACUCUGUGCCAGCAGCCGCGGUAAUACAGAGGAGCCAAGCGUUGUCCGGAUUGACUGGGCGUAAAGCGCACGCAGGCGGUCUGGCGCGUGGGGUGUGAAAUCUGGCCGCUUAACGGCCAGGCGCCAUCCCAUACGGCCGGACUGGAGCCAUGCAGAGGUCGGUGGAAUUGCCGGUGUAGUGGUGAAAUGCGUAGAGAUCGGCAGGAACACCCAGGGGGAAACCAGCCGACUGGGCAUGUGCUGACGCUGAAGUGCGAGAGCGUGGGGAGCGAACCGGAUUAGAUACCCCUGUAGUCC
rnacentral:rRNA from 1 species